rnacentral:hammerhead_ribozyme from 1 species
AUCCAGCUGACCAGUCCCAAAUAGGAUGAAACGCGCUUCCUGGAU